rnacentral:SRP_RNA from 1 species
CCGUGCAGGUGGGGGGUUAGCGGUCCCCUGCAUCCAAAACCCGCUAUACGUGGAGCCGAUGGGCCUCCCGAGAGGACGGGGAGACGGAAUCGGCCUGGGAGCCCCGGGCGAUGACGGUCGAGCCCUCUGCGACGCAUACCGGUGAACCCCGCGAGGCCCGGAAGGGAGCAACGGUAAGCUGGUCCCUGCGGGUGAUAGAGGAUCCCUUGGCCUGAGCUCGGUCCCCAGGAGCGCCCGUCGAACUGGCCCCGACGGAGGCCCGCACGG